rnacentral:rRNA from 1 species
UACGUAGGGUGCAAGCGUUGUCCGGAAUUAUUGGGCGUAAAGAGCUCGUAGGCGGUUUGUUGCGUCGGCUGUGAAAUCCCGAGGCUCAACCUCGGGUCUGCAGUCGAUACGGGCGGACUGGAGUUCGGCAGGGGAGACUGGAAUUCCUGGUGUAGCGGUGAAAUGCGCAGAUAUCAGGAGGAACACCGGUGGCGAAGGCGGGUCUCUGGGGCCGAUACUGACGCUGAGGAGCGAAAGCGUGGGGAGCGAACAGG